rnacentral:rRNA from 1 species
UUUUCCGGUUGAUCCUGCCGGACCCUACUGCUAUCGGGGUGGGACUAAGACAUGCGAGUUGUGCGUCUCUAAGCCAUGGUAGAGACGCGGCGUACGGCUCAGUAGCACGUGGCUAACCUACCCUUGGGACGAGGACAACCCCGGGAAACUGGGGCUAAUACUCGAUAGGUGAGGAGGCCUGGAAUGGUUCCUCGUCGAAAAGGCGUUGAAACCAUGCUUUUCGGCGUCGCCCAAGGAUGGGGCCGCGCCCGAUCAGGUUGUUGGUGAGGCAACGGCUUACCAAGCCUAUAACCGGUACGGGCCGUGAGAGCGGGAGCCCGGAGAUGGGCACUGAGACAAGGGCCCAGGCCCUACGGGGCGCAGCAGUCGCGAAAACUCCGCAAUGCGCGAAAGCGUGACGGGGCUACCCCGAGUGCCGUCCGCUGAGGAUGGCUUUUUCCCGGUGUAAUGAGCCGGGAGAAUAAGGAGAGGGCAAGUCUGGUGUCAGCCGCCGCGGUAAUACCAGCUCUCCGAGUGGUAGGGAUGAUUAUUGGGCUUAAAGCGUCCGUAGCCGGCUUAGCAAGUCUCCUGUUAAAUUCAGCGACUUAAUCGUUGAGCCGCGGGAGACACUACUAGGCUAGGAGGCGGGAGAGGCCGACGGUAUUCUCGGGGUAGGGGUGAAAUCCUAUAAUCCCGGGAGGACCACCAGUGGCGAAGGCUGUCGGCUAGAACGCGCUCGACGGUGAGGGACGAAAGCUGGGGGAGCGAACCGGAUUAGAUACCCGGGUAGUCCCAGCUGUAAACGAUGCGGGCUAGGUGUUGGGGUGGCUACGAGCCACUUCAGUGCCGCAGGGAAGCCAUUAAGCCCGCCGCCUGGGGAGUACGGCCGCAAGGCUGAAACUUAAAGGAAUUGGCGGGGGAGCACCACAAGGCGUGAAGCUUGCGGUUCAAUUGGAGUCAACGCCGGGAAUCACUAGU